rnacentral:rRNA from 1 species
GUUAGGAAUAUUGGACAAUGGGCGCAAGCCUGAUCCAGCCAUGCCGCGUGAGUGAUGAAGGCCUUCGGGUUGUAAAGCUCUUUAGCCGAUGAUUAUAAUGACUGUAGUCGGAAAAUAAGCCCCGGCUAACUUCGUGCCAGCAGCCGCGGUAAUACGAAGGGGGCGAGCGUUAUUCGGAAUCACUGGGCGUAAAGCGUGCGUAGGCGGCUUUGCAAGUUGGGAGUGAAAGCCCAGAGCUCAACCCUUGAAUUGCUCUCAAAACUGCAAGGCUCGAAUUCGGGAGAGGAUAGCGGAAUUGUCAGUGUAGCAGUGAAAUGCGUAGAUAUUGACAGGAACACCAGUGGCGUAAGCGGCUAUCUGGACCGAUAUUGACGCUGAGGCACGAAAGCGUGGGGAUCAAACAGGAUUAGAAACCCGGGUAGUCC